rnacentral:misc_RNA from 1 species
ACAGUUAAUUAGUUGUGUUCAGUAUGGUGUAACAUUUUCCCUGUGACUCACAGCGGGUGGUGACCGCAGCGGCGCGCGCGCAGGCGCGUGCCCUGCGGUCGGGAUAAUGCCUUCCUCACUGUCCCCUGCAUUGUGCCCUGGUGGCGCUGUGCACCGUGCUGGUGGUGCUCAUCCACCAGCAAUGGACCUGCGCCGGCCUCCCGGUCAGUACCCUCCGGCUUCUCGGUCUUGCUGCUAAGCGAACGAUCUCUGAUGACCAGCAAGUGGCAGGACAACCUCCCCACCUACCAGCCAAAAUAUUCGCGGCAGGUGUCGCUCCUCAGACAAAAUAUGGGCCUGCGCAGACGAAGACGUGUCCGUGCGGGGGCGACUGGAGGCUGCCGUCGUCCGCGACGCCGUGGAAGCAGUGGGGGCGACAGCCGUCGUACAAGCGCGACCCCGACAUCAGCGUCGACAACGAGUGCAUCGGCCACUCCCCGCGCAUCCACUGACCUUUGCCCGCUGCCGCCAUACGUACACUGAACUUAAAUCCAUUCUACAUACAUAUAAUAGUCACUCAACUGUAUCAUGGUCUUGUGCAAAAAUGUCAAUAAAAAUUGCUACAUAGGUAAA